rnacentral:lncRNA from 1 species
GAAACUCUCCCCUAGGCUUAGCGGUUCUCUUUUUUUUUUUUUUUUUGAGACGGAGUCUCGCUCUGUCACCCAGGCCGGAGUGCAGUGGCACAAUCCCGGCUCACUGCAAACUCUGCCUCCCGGAUUCACGCCAUUCUCCUGCCUCAGCCUCACGAGUAGCUGGGACUACAGAUGCCCGCCACCAUGCCCGGCUAAUGUUUUGUAUUUUUAGUAGAGACGGGGUUUCACCGUGGUCUCGAUCUCCUGACCUCGUGAUCCGCCCGCCUCGGCCUCCCAAAGUGCUGGGAUUACGAGCGUAAGCCACCGCGCCCGGCCAGUGGUUCUCUUUUCUAGCCACAAUUUAGAAUCAUUUGGGGGAACGUAUAAAAAGAGAUGGGUCAGACUCCAUCUGAGACCAAUUUAGGAAUCUCUGGGAGUGGGCUGCAUUUCUGGAUCUUUCUACAAUUCCCUAGGGGGUCCUAACACAUAGCUAUGGCUCAGAGGGACUCUGAAGACCCUUCCAGCUCUGAGCAGCUGUGAUUUUUGAGGUGGGGGAGGAAAACUGGCAUCAGCGUGUUGAGAGGGACAGUGGUCUGGGGGUGAUUUCAUCUUCAGAGCAGUUGGCAGACUCACAAAAAUGCUCUUUCCUUUUGGACUCCCUGUUAGCAUAUUGCCCUGUUCCCUUAGCUUGUAUUCAUCUAAUCAAUCAGCACGGAAAUCAAGCCAUGAUUAUGUUAAUUGUCACAUGCUCCUUUUCUUUGUAGUAAUACUCCUGGCAUUUUACAUCAGGAAGGAACUGCAGGGCAAGACCUAUGCAGGGAUGCCUGUCUCUUUUUAAGGCCAGGGAACCUAAGAAUACAAUGAAAGUUAAGCAAACCCUCUCCACGUAAAAAACAUGCUAGUAUCUAUAUGAGCACAUGGAUUUUGCAUAUAGCUUUUGGGGCUCUCAGAAGCUCGGAUGCUUUUCUGUACUUUCAAGGACAGCCAUUCCUAUACUUUAUUAUUUUUAUUAUUAUUAUAUUUUGAGACGGAGUCUCGCUCUGUCACCCAGGCUGGAGUGCAGUGGUGCAAUCUCGGCUCACUGCAAGCUCCGCCUCCCGGGUUCACGUCAUUCUCCUGCCUCAGCCUCCCAAGUAGCUGGGACUACAGAUGCCUGCCACCACACCCGGCUAAUUUUGUGUGUUUUUAGUAGAGACGGGGUUUCACCGUGUUAGCCAGGAUGGUCUCGAUCUCCUGACCUUGUGAUCCGCCUGCCUCGGCCUCCCAAAGUGCUGGGAUUACAGGCGUGAGCCACUGCGCCUGGCCCCCUGUACUUUAAUGAUGGGACUCACCCCCAGAGUUUCUGAUUCAUGUCCAGGGUGGGCCUAAUGCUUUGCAUUUCUAAUGAGUUUCCAGGUGAUGCUGGUGAUGCUGAUUCGGAGAGGAUACUUGGAGAACUGCUGCUCCAGGACAAAAGCAAUCAAAAGACAAAAGCCUCUUAUUUUGUCUCCCCCUCCUGUUUCAUAGAUAAGUGGGUUCGGGUACAGAGAGUCCUCACACAGCAAGUUCAUGGCAGAGCUGAUAAAGUUAACUCCUUUCCAGUCCAAUUCGAUCCAACUCCAUUCGCCAGCUACAAGCAAGGUGAAUGAGACAAGGUCUCUGCCAUUGACUUAAAGAUACAUAAAUGAUAAGGCUGAAAGCCAGAAUGUGAUUAUUGUCAAAAGAAAUAGUCAAGGAAAUAUCUUCGUAAUUUUGGCCACGGUGGAGGGAGGCACUCGGGAAGAAGUUGCCAGAAGUCAUUGCAUUCAAGCCUUGCCUAGAAGGAAACUUGGAAGGCUGGAGUGCAAUGGUGCGAUCCGAUCUCAGCUCACUGCAACCUCAGCCUCCUGGGUUCAAGUGAUUCUUCUGCCUCAGUCUCCUGAGUAGCUGAGAUUACAGGCACUCGCCACCAUGCCCGGCUAAUUUUUGUAUUUUUAGUAGAUACAGGAUUUCGCGAUGUUGGCCAGGCUGGUCUCAAACUCCUGACUUCAAGUGACCCCCGCACCUCGGCCUCUCAAAAUGCUGGGAUUACAGGCAUGAGCCACUGUGCCUGGCCUCCAUUAACCUAUUCACCUUAGGCAUUUCCCUCGGAGGAAGAUGGGAAGGAAAAAGAAUGGUAAUAGAGUUUGGAUACGUCAAUGUAGACACUGGCUCAAGGUAUGAUAGAGGUG